UACGUAGGCAGCAAGCGUUGUUCGGAAUUACUGGGCGUAAAGAGUGUGUAGGCGGUGCUCUAAGUUCGGUGUGAAAUCUCCCGGCUCAACUGGGAGGGUGCGCUAGAAACUGGAAUGCUAGAGGAUGGGAGAGGUAAGCGGAAUUCCUGGUGUAGCGGUGAAAUGCGCAGAUAUCAGGAGGAACACCGGUGGCGAAGGCGGCAUCCUGGACCAAUUCUGACACUGAGGAGCGAAAGCCAGGGGAGCAAAACGGG
rnacentral:rRNA from 1 species